CUCCACUCUCCUCCUUCCACUCCAGGGGUGUAACCUGGCAAUCCUCCCCUGUGCUUCCUCGGAGAGGCACUGGCACUGGGCUGCUCUGGAUCCAGCUGACCUUUCCAAGCAGGUCGUGGUUACUGGGUUUACCUGGAGGCAGGAAGAGCCACUUCCAGCCUGGUCCUGCAGAUGGUGCCAGGGAAGAAGCUGGAAAAUGCCCUCUGAUGUGGAGGCAAGGCUUCAUCUCUCAGUUUGUGUCUUGGUUUCUACACUGUAGCUGCAGACACCUGAACAAACAUGCUCUCAAUCCAGAUCACUUUGUGAGGAGAGUUGUUACAAGCUUGUAGCAGGAACUGCUGGCCAUAAGGCAGAGGAAAUCUCAUACAGCAGUUUCCUUGUCUCUAGAUAAACUCAAGAUGAAACUCAUCUAAGGCACUCCUUUCUUCUGCACAUUUUCUGCUCAUGCUGUGUCAAACCCAAUUAUCAUCAUUAUCCCAGUUCUGUCACACUCUAUAAAUACAAAUAAAACCAACCAGCGCAGCCAAGUCCUGUGCAAGGAAGGAUCUCGUUAGGGCUCAGCAGAGAGUGCCUUGCAGAAGCUGGGGGCAAAAUAAGGUUUAAGAGUCUCAGGCCUUGCUUUAGAGUCAGAGGCAUCUCCUGGGAGCAGCACCUCUGUAGUAUCUGUGGUUUUCAGCUUGGCUUGGGGCAAGGGAACUCUCACCUCCAUGAAAUCAGUAGGGUUUCUAACUCUGUGAGGAUGGCACGGGAUUUAGUAAGAGCUCCAAGGUAAAAAUCAGACAAACUGUACCUAACAGUAAGUCCAAAACCCCAGAAGUGUAGGUUUUCAAAGCUUUGC